GCACCUGUAGCUCAACUGGAUAGAGCACCUGACUUCGGAUCAGGGGGUUGGGGGUUCGAGCCCUCUCAGGUGUA
rnacentral:tRNA from 1 species